CCUACGGGAGGCAGCAGUGAGGAAUAUUGGUCAAUGGGCGAGAGCCUGAACCAGCCAAGUCGCGUGAAGGAUGAAGGAUCUAUGGUUUGUAAACUUCUUUUAUAAAGGAAUAAAGUGAGGCACGUGUGCCUUUUUGUAUGUACUUUAUGAAUAAGGAUCGGCUAACUCCGUGCCAGCAGCCGCGGUAAUACGGAGGAUCCGAGCGUUAUCCGGAUUGAUUGGGUUUAAAGGGAGCGUAGAUGGGUUGUUAAGUCAGUUGUGAAAGUUUGCGGCUCAACCGUAAAAUUGCAAUUGAUACUGGCAGCCUUGAGUACAGUUGAGGUAGGCGGAAUUCGUGGUGUAGCGGUGAAAUGCUUAGAUAUCACGAAGAAUUCUGAUUGCGAAGGCAGCUUACUAAACUGCCACUGACAUUGAUGCUCGAAAGUGUGGGUAUCAAACAGGAUUAGAUACCCUAGUAGUC
rnacentral:rRNA from 1 species